rnacentral:rRNA from 1 species
GGAAUAUUGGUCAAUGGGCGAGAGCCUGAACCAGCCAUGCCGCGUGGAGGAAGACGGCUUUCUGAGUUGUAAACUCCUUUUAUACGGGAAGAAAAUGGUCCUGCGGGACACACUGACGGUACCGUACGAAUAAGCACCGGCUAACUCCGUGCCCGCAGCCGCGGUAAUACGGAGGGUGCAAGCGUUGUCCGGAUUUAUUGGGUUUAAAGGGUACGUAGGCGGUUCUUUAAGUCUGUGGUGAAAGCCCACCGCUCAACGGUGGAAAUGCCAUGGAUACUGGAGAACUUGAGUGUCGUAGAGGUAGGCGGAAUUGAUGGUGUAGCGGUGAAAUGCAUAGAUACCAUCAAGAACACCAAUAGUGAAGACAGCUUACUGGACGAUAACUGACGCUGAGGUACGAAAGCGUGGGGAGCG